rnacentral:rRNA from 1 species
AGAGUUUGAUCCUGGCUCAGGAUGAACGCUAGCGGCAUGCCUAACACAUGCAAGUCGUACGAAAUUAUUUUAGUGGCGGACGGGUGAGUAACGCGUGAGGAUCUACCUUUAGGAAAGGAAUACAAACAAUUAAAUCCUUAUAAGCUUUAUAGUGAAAAAAGAAAUUUGCCUAGAGAUGAACUCGCGUCUGAUUAGUUAGUUGGUUGGGUAAUGGCUCACCAAGGCAUCGAUCAGUAGCUGGUCUGAGAGGAUGAUCAGCCACACUGGGACUGAGACACGGCCCAGACUCCUACGGGAGGCAGCAGUGGGGAAUUUUCCGCAAUGGGCGAAAGCCUGACGGAGCAACGCCGCGUGAGGGAUGAAGGCCUCUGGGCUGUAAACCUCUUUUAUCAAGGAAGAAGAUCUGACGGUACUUGAUGAAUAAGCCACGGCUAAUUCCGUGCCAGCAGCCGCGGUAAUACGGGAGUGGCAAGCGUUAUCCGGAAUUAUUGGGCGUAAAGCGUCCGCAGGCGGCCCUUCAAGUCUGCUGUUAAAAAGUGGAGCUUAACUCCAUCAUGGCAGUGGAAACUGUUGGGCUCGAGUGUGGUAGGGGCAGAGGGAAUUCCCGGUGUAGCGGUGAAAUGCGUAGAUAUCGGGAAGAACACCAGUGGCGAAGGCGCUCUGCUGGGCCAUCACUGACGCUCAUGGACGAAAGCCAGGGGAGCGAAAGGGAUUAGAUACCCCUGUAGUCCUGGCCGUAAACGAUGAACACUAGGUGUCGGGGGAAUCGACCCCUCCGGUGUCGUAGCCAACGCGUUAAGUGUUCCGCCUGGGGAGUACGCACGCAAGUGUGAAACUCAAAGGAAUUGACGGGGGCCCGCACAAGCGGUGGAGUAUGUGGUUUAAUUCGAUGCAACGCGAAGAACCUUACCAGGGUUUGACAUCCUGCGAAUCUCUUGGAAACUUGAGAGUGCCUUCGGGAGCGCAGUGACAGGUGGUGCAUGGCUGUCGUCAGCUCGUGUCGUGAGAUGUUGGGUUAAGUCCCGCAACGAGCGCAACCCACGUCUUUAGUUGCCAGCAUUUAGUUGGGCACUCUAGAGAGACCGCCGGUGAUAAACCGGAGGAAGGUGUGGAUGACGUCAAGUCAUCAUGCCCCUUACAUCCUGGGCUACACACGUACUACAAUGCUACGGACAAAGGGCAGCAAGUUCGCGAGGACAAGCAAAUCCCAUAAACCGUGGCUCAGUUCAGAUCGUAGGCUGCAACUCGCCUACGUGAAGGAGGAAUCGCUAGUAAUCGCAGGUCAGCAUACUGCGGUGAAUACGUUCCCGGGCCUUGUACACACCGCCCGUCACACCAUGGAAGUUGGCCACGCCCGAAGCCGUUACUCCAACCCUUGUGGAGGAGGACGUCGAAGGUGGGGCUGAUGACUGGGGUGAAGUCGUAACAAGGUAACC